rnacentral:rRNA from 1 species
AGAGUUUGAUCAUGGCUCAGAACGAACGCUGGCGGCGUGCUUAACACAAGCAAGUCGAACGCGAACGGGUUCUUCGGAACCUCAGUAGAGUGGCGCACGGGUGAGUAACGCGUAAGUAAUCUACCCUCGCAUUUGGGAUAACCCACCGAAAGGUGUGCUAAUACCGGAUACGUCUGUACAAAAAUCUUUUAUAUAGAGAAAGGUGGCCUCUGAUUCAAGCUACUGUGCGGGGAGGAGCUUGCGUACCAUUAGCUAGUUGGUAGGGUAAAGGCCUACCAAGGCAACGAUGGUUAGCGGGUCUGAGAGGAUGAUCCGCCACACUGGAACUGAAACACGGACCAGACUCCUACGGGAGGCAGCAGUGAGGAAUAUUGCGCAAUGGGGGCAACCCUGACGCAGCGACGCCGCGUGGAUGAUGAAGGCCUUCGGGUUGUAAAAUCCUGUCAGAUGGGAAGAAGUGUAAUAUGGUUAAUACCUGUAUUAUUUGACGGUACCAUCAAAGGAAGCACCGGCUAACUCUGUGCCAGCAGCCGCGGUAAUACAGAGGGUGCAAGCGUUAUUCGGAAUUACUGGGCGUAAAGCGCGCGUAGGCGGACUGUUAAGUCGGUUGUGAAAGCCCUGGGCUCAACCUAGGAAUUGCAUCCGAUACUGGCAAUCUAGAGUUUAGGAGAGGGAAGUGGAAUUCCUGGUGUAGCAGUGA